GCCCUCGUAGCUCAGUGGAUAGAGCACCGGUCUCCGGAACCGGGUGCGUAGGUUCGAUUCCUACCGGGGGUA
rnacentral:tRNA from 1 species